rnacentral:rRNA from 1 species
UACGUAGGGAGCAAGCGUUGUCCGGAAUCAUUGGGCGUAAAGAGCGCGUAGGCGGCCGUGUAAGUCCGCUCUGAAAGUCGGAGGCUCAACCUCCGAAAGCGGGUGGAUACUGCACGGCUAGAGUCCGGAAGAGGCGAGUGGAAUUCCUGGUGUAGCGGUGGAAUGCGCAGAUAUCAGGAGGAACACCAACGGCGAAGGCAGCUCGCUGGGACGGUACUGACGCUGAGGCGCGAAAGCCAGGGGAGCAAACGGG